rnacentral:rRNA from 1 species
CAGUCGCCGCGGUAAUACGGAGGGUGCAAGCGUUAAUCGGAAUUACUGGGCGUAAAGCGCACGCAGGCGGUUUGUCAAGUCAGAUGUGAAAUCCCCGGGCUUAACCUGGGAACUGCAUUUGAAACUGGCAAGCUAGAGUCUUGUAGAGGGGGGUAGAAUUCCAGGUGUAGCGGUGAAAUGCGUAGAGAUCUGGAGGAAUACCGGUGGCGAAGGCGGCCCCCUGGACAAAGACUGACGCUCAGGUGCGAAAGCGUGGGGAGCAAACAGGAUUAGAUACCCCAGUAGUCCCUGUCUCUUAUAU